AAGCGUUACUCGGAAUCACUGGGCGUAAAGAGCAUGUAGGCGGGUGAAUAAGUUGGAAGUGAAAUCCUAUAGCUUAACUAUAGAACUGCUUCCAAAACUGUUCACCUAGAGUAUGGGAGAGGUAGAUGGAAUUUCUGGUGUAGGGGUAAAAUCCGUAGAGAUCAGAAGGAAUACCGAUUGCGAAGGCGAUCUACUGGAACAUUACUGACGCUCAGAUGCGAAAGCGUGGGGAGCAAACAGGAUUAGAUACCCUGGUAGUCCACGCCCUAAACGAUGUACACUAGUUGUUGCUAUACUAGAUAUGGCAGUAAUGCAGUUAACACUUUAAGUGUACCGCCUGGGGAGUACGGUCGCAAGAUUAAAACUCAAAGGAAUAGACGGGGACCCGCACAAGCGGUGGAGCAUGUGGUUUAAUUCGACGAUACGCGAAAAACCUUACCUGGCCUUGACAUAGUAGGAAUCUUUAAGAGAUUAGAGAGUGCUAGCUUGCUAGAACCUACAUACAGGUGCUGCACGGCUGUCGUCAGC
rnacentral:rRNA from 1 species